UACAGAGGGUGCAAGCGUUAAUCGGAAUUACUGGGCGUAAAGCGUGCGUAGACGGUUACAUAAGUCGGGUGUGAAAGCCCCGGGCUCAACCUGGGAAUUGCAUUCGAGACUGCGUAGCUAGAGUAUGGGAGAGGGUAGUGGAAUUCCCGGUGUAGCGGUGAAAUGCGUAGAUAUCGGGAGGAACAUCAGUGGCGAAGGCGGCUACCUGGCCCAAUACUGACACUCAGGUGCGACAGCGUGGGGAGCAAACAGG
rnacentral:rRNA from 1 species